AUGCAGAGCGCCCAGCAGAAAGCGAGGAGGAAGAACGCGCAGGUGCUGGACGGGUCCGACAUCCGGGAGCUGGUGGAGAACGAGGGGGCGUUCGCGAAGUUCGUGGAGAACAAGUUCCGGCACCUUGACGCCGACGGCGACGGGAGGCUGUCGCUGAGGGAGCUCCAGCCCGCCGUCGCGGACAUCGGGGCCGCCAUCGGGCUGCCGGCGAAGGGGUCGUCGGCGCAGGCGGACCACAUCUACUCCGAGGUUCUAAAUGAGUUCACCCACGGGAAGCAAGAUUCGGUGAGCAAGCCAGAGUUCCAGCACGUGCUGUCCGACAUACUCCUCGGCAUGGCGGCCGGGCUCAAGAGGGACCCGAUCAUGAUCCUCAGGAUGGAGGGGGAAGACCUGAACGAGUUUGUCGAGAGCACGGCGUACGAAGCGGAGGCGGUCGCCAUAUUCUCUCAAAUCGAGUCCGGAAAUGCGUCGUUGCGACAAUGUUUGCCCGCCGCUCUUCGACAGCUGACGGUCGAUCACGGCAUGCCACCGGCUUCGGACUCUCUGGUUAUGGAGAAGGUCGUAGAACCUGCCUUGCAGGAACUGCCGGCAGAUCAGCUCGACCGAACGGCAUCGCAAGAGAUCUUCUUCCAGGAAUUCAAGAAGUACUUGGGAGUGAUCGCCCGUCGACUCCAGGAGUGCCCGGUAAUUGUGGCGCACACUGAGAACACCUUUGAUGGGGCUGGCAUUAGGAAGAUACUGUCGAACAAGUUCGAGUUCGACAAGCUGCUGGAUUCUGUCUGGGGAGAUGUACCCAAGGAACACAAAGAUAGAACAUCGAAGAAGUACCUUCGCGUCGCGCUUGACAAGUUGGCCGCCUCAGUAAAUCUACCACCAUACGGAGCUGUUGAUCAGGUAAUUUAG
rnacentral:rRNA from 1 species